rnacentral:rRNA from 1 species
GACAGAGGGUGCAAACGUUGUUCGGAUUUACUGGGCGUAAAGCGCGUGUAGGCGGCUUUGCAAGUCGGAUGUGAAAGCCCACGGCUCAACCGUGGAAGUGCAUCCGAAACUGCAUGGCUGGAGUCUCGGAGAGGAAGGUGGAAUGCUUGGUGUAGAGGUGAAAUGCGUAGAGAUGUGGAGGAACACCAAUGGCGAAGGCAGCCUUCUGGGCCAACACUGACGCUCAUGCACGAAAGCGUGGGGAGUAAACAGG